rnacentral:rRNA from 1 species
UUUAUUGGAGAGUUUGAUCCUGGCUCAGGAUGAACGCUGGCGGCGUGCCUAAUACAUGCAAGUCGAGCGAAUGGAUUAAGAGCUUGCUCUUAUGAAGUUAGCGGCGGACGGGUGAGUAACACGUGGGUAACCUGCCCAUAAGACUGGGAUAACUCCGGGAAACCGGGGCUAAUACCGGAUAAUAUUUUGAACUGCAUGGUUCGAAAUUGAAA